rnacentral:rRNA from 1 species
GACGAACGCUGGCGGCGUGCCUAAUACAUGCAAGUAGAACGCUGAAGGAGGAGCUUGCUUCUCCGGAUGAGUUGCGAACGGGUGAGUAACGCGUAGGUAACCUGCCUGGUAGCGGGGGAUAACUAUUGGAAACGACAGCUAAUACCGCAUAAGAGUAGAUGUCGCAUGACAUUUGCUUAAAAGGUGCAACUGCACCACUACCAGAUGGACCUGCGUUGUAUUAGCUAGUUGGUGAGGUAACGGCUCACCAAGGCAACGAUACAUAGCCGACCUGAGAGGGUGAUCGGCCACACCGGGACUGAGACACGGCCCAGACUCCUACGGGAGGCAGCAGUAGGGAAUCUUCGGCAAUGGACGGAAGUCUGACCGAGCAACGCCGCGUGAGUGAAGAAGGUUUUCGGAUCGUAAAGCUCUGUUGUAAGAGAAGAACGAGUGUGAGAGUGGAAAGUUCACACUGUGACGGUAUCUUACCAGAAAGGGACGGCUAACUACGUG